rfam:Oryza barthii chromosome 8, whole genome shotgun sequence.
AAAGAUUGUAGUUUUACACUGUUUAUGUCCAACGUUUGAGUGUCCAUCUUAUUCGAAAAUUUGUUAUAAUUAGUUUUAUUAUUAUUAUUAUUAGAUAAUAAAACAUGAGUAGUACUUUAUGUGUGACUAUUUUUUUAUUUUUUUCAUGAUUUUUUUCAAAUAAGACGGUUGGUCAAAUGUUGGACACGGAAAUUUACAACUGCACUUAAA